GUGGAUUAGAUACCCUAGUAGUCCACGCCGUAAACUAUGAUUACUCGCUGUUGGCGAUACAUUGUCAGCGGCUGAGCGAAAGCAUUAAGUAAUCCACCUGGGGAGUACGAUCGCAAGGUUGAAACUCAAAGGAAUUGACGGGGGCCCGCACAAGCGGAGGAACAUGUGGUUUAAUUCGAUGAUACGCGAGGAACCUUACCUGGGCUUAAAUGUAGAGCGACAGACUGGGAAACUGGUCCUUCUUCGGACGAUCUACAAGGUGCUGCACGGCCGUCGUCAACU
rnacentral:rRNA from 1 species